UACAGAGGGGGCAAGCGUUGUUCGGAAUUACUGGGCGUAAAGGGCGCGUAGGCGGCCUUCUAAGUCGAACGUGAAAUCCCCGGGCUCAACCCGGGAACUGCGUCCGAUACUGGAGAGCUCGAGUCCGGGAGAGGUGAGUGGAACUGCGAGUGUAGAGGUGAAAUUCGUAGAUAUUCGCAAGAACACCAGUGGCGAAGGCGGCUCACUGGCCCGAUACUGACGCUGAGGCACGAAAGCGUGGGGAGCAAACAGG
rnacentral:rRNA from 1 species